rnacentral:sRNA from 1 species
CAUCUAGGCAGAUGAAGUUGCCUAGAUCAUCCGAUUUGGGAACUGUGCUAGAAGAAAGAGCACGAUGGAAGGAAGAUGUCAGGGCGCGCGACCCGCACAGAGUUUCAGCCCUUCAGCGGUUGGCUCCUCGGACGCAUAGGAGCAUCGAGGUAGGAAUGCCAAUACCGCGCCUUGCUUAUGAGCCAACAUACAAAGCAUUAGCAAGGCUGCAGACCUCGCCGUUCGUUCCGGCAAUUGAGAACGCACCACUACCUUCGGGCUUUCACCAGCCCAACUUCACUACUUAUGAGGGGAAGACGGACCCCUACUUGCACUUAAGCCACUUUCGCCAGGUUAUGGCUGUAAUACCCCUGUUUUGUAGUAUGCUAAUUGGUCCGUAAUAUGAGUAUGAUGAUGUGUUUAAUAUGAUUUUAUGUGUCAUUUUGUGAAUAUAUGUGAUUUCGAAGUUCUAUCUGUUCACCGUAGGAAUAUCUGUUUGAAUAAUCUGCUUUGGAAAUUAAAUUGAAGGCCUUAUCGGCCACAGAACCCGAAAUUGAUUACGCCAUUGUGAUUGGCAUAAUUUUUUAGAACCUACGGUGAAAUUUAAUUGAAAAUUGAUUCGGGUCAGAUAAAAUCGAUUAAAUUGAUGAAUUAGAACUCAACUACUUUAUUACUAUUAUAU